CUCUUAGAAGGAAAAAAAAAAUAAAAUCUUGGGUGAAGCAAGUUUAUAAUAGAGGAUAAAUAAUGUGACGGGAACUGCCCUUUAUUUAUAAUGCCUGCACCCAUCUUUUCAUCAAUUAUUUUUCCACAUACAGGUUAUUGUAGGAUUAGAUGCAGCCUCAUACUGGGUUAUUUAGGUGCUUGUUUCAAAAGAGUAUAAAGCAAGAUAAUGCUUAUUAUUUUCAUUUGUAAUUGUUAAUAAGUCAGCAUGCUUCCCAUUUUACUAGGUAGGGAAGUGGAAGUGAAAUGCACAGUCAAGGCUUUUGCAAGAAAAGAGCAGCAGAAACAGAGCUGGAAUCCAGGCCUGGUCCCUCCUGCUCCAGCACUCCUGCUCCCGGAGCGUGUUCAGCCUAUGGUCAGGAAAGUUCCACCACGCUCAGCUUUGCAUAGUCAUUUGCCACUCUAAAUUGAAGAAGAUUCACCAUUUCUCUUAACAACUUUACAUAAGACUGAACACAAGUUUUCUUGUUAUAAAGUACCUUCUUCCACCCUUUGUACAAGAGAAUUUUAGCUAUGAAUAACUAAGGGUUAAUAGCACAACUCCAAACCAGUUGUUCCUCUGAUUAAUGACUUCUCCUAAAGCACUAAAAGCCCCCGGCUUCACCUCAGGCCAUUUAAACCCCUAUGGUUAACUACCAAGGGCUGGAUCCUUCUGAAGCUGAUGCUUUAAUCCACACACUGGUGCCUCUCCAUUUGCUGUGUCAUCGGGAGAGUUUCAGAACAGGUCUAGCUCAAGAUGCAUUUUAUUACCUAGAAGCUAGGUAGUGUUAUUUCCAGAAACCUCUUCAGUAACUUUUUUCCUUGUCCUGGUUGGUCAGAAUUUUACCGAGGUGACAGCAAACUUUGCUGUCUGCAGAGGCAGUAUCCAGUAGUCUGAGCAAACACUAGCAGAUCUGUUUUCUCCUUUAUGUUUUAAGCAUGCGAUAAGCUGAAUAAAAGCAAAAAUACUUGAUGAAAGAAAACUUAGUCGCUUGUUGUGCAGCAGGCUGGCAUUUUAAUUCUGCUUUGCCAGCUCAGAGCGAGCUUCUACACAGUCAAAUAGCAGAUGUGGGUCUAGAUCUAUUAGGAAAGUACCAAACUUUUGUACCUUUUGCUAAUAUAUUUUAGAUGUGUUUCACGUGGAGUUUUGCCACUAGGUAUGUGCUCUGCGAGGACCUGCUUCAGAGGAGAUUCCAGAGUGGGCCCCGACAGCAGGUGAACACGGCAGAACGGAGCGAAGGUGACAGCAGCUCAGGUUAUGCCAGAUGCAGGGUUUUUUCUGAGGAUGGAACUGCACAUAACCAGGGGAGGGAGACUGGAGUGUCAGCAUAGCUGAGGCUUAUUUUUGACAGAAACGACAGCUGCUGUUUGGGUUAAAAUUUUCAUAUAGCGAGGAACUUGUUGGAACAGCACCUACUCGGCUUCUAUGAUGAAAUUCAAGGGACCAGCUUAGCAGCUCAGGUGACAUUUUGGAAAGGGACUGUCUGCAGUGAAGUCUUAAAAUUUUUCAUUUCUUUGAAAUUUCAGACAAAUUCAUCAGUUUUCUUCUUCCUUUUAAAUUUAAGCUAUAAAUGGAAAAACACCUGCCAAAAAAUUUUGGGAGAAAAGACACAAAAAGCAAUCUUCCAUUAAACCAGAGCCCAUUUGUGAAGGUCAGAUACACUCAACAUCCUUCUUGACUGCACAACCGCAGUGAGAAAUACUUCUGUCCUAGACCAAGUAAGAAAAAGUCCAGGUGUUUGACGGAUCCCCAAAAGCUGCGUUGCACCCCAGACACCUGCCAGGGUUCGGGCUGUCACCGGAGCAGGUUCCCAGCCCCCCUGGGCCAUCCCCAGCGUGCAAAGGCGAGCAGGCACGCGGACGGCUUCAAGCAGGAAAUUCUGGUUCUCGUUGCAGGCGGGAGCCCUCGGCCGGGCUGCGGGCAGAGCAGCGCUCUCUCCCUGCUCGCCGCCUGCCCCCAGGACCCCCAGCGCUUUUCAUACACCAGCUAGCACACACCGCCCGCCCCGCAGCCAGGACGGGGCAUUAAACAGCUUCUAACGCCCAGCCGGGCCCUGGGGAGACUGGCCAGGCUGGUGGUGGGUCCGUUCUGUGCCUGGAACUGUACAGGAGGUGGUCCAUCUGUCCACUGAAAGAUAACAAACAGCAUGAAAAUCCUCCAGCCGCUGCCUGGGGAGGGGAGGGAUGGCAGCGAGGCCAGAGGAAGGAGCUCGCCGUUUGCUACCUUGAGAUAAUUAAAGAUUUCAUCACCAGAAGUUGCGCAUCAGGUAAACGUCUGACUGUCCCAACACGGGAAGCCACGACUUGCACGGAUGAGGGACCUGACUUCGACGUGUUUGAGCCACGACACGCUGCACUACAGCGUUUUCAGAGCAAGUGAAGCCUCUGGUCCACACUCAUUUCACUACUAAGAUAUUUUUCUCUCACAUUAGUCAAAAAUCUUCUAAAACGGGCAAACUUGUUUCUUCAUCUUCCUCCCCCCUCCAGAUUUUGAAUCCAGCAUUGAUUAUGCAAACGCCAGCAAUGGCGGGAGCACUGGCCCACGGCCCACGCUCGGGUGGAGGCAGGCGUGCGUCUCCACACUUUCAUCCUCACAGGUCUCAGGGUCCCUUUGCGAGCAAAGCCAGCACAUGGCAUCUUCCUAUUGGCCUUUUUCCGCCCCCCCUUUCUUCUCCCCAGAAGGGAACUUUGGGAAAAAGAUGUCACAUUCCUCACAUCUCACGUUCCCAUUUGGACGUUAUUUCAGUCCAGAACAUUAAAUAGUCUUAGGCUGUUGCUGAGAUGCAGCUUAGUAAGCCAUUCUCUAUCUUUAAAACAGCCUUAAAAAUGUUUGACAGGAAGGAUGUCAAUAUCUGAAGCCCCCAGAAAGUGGAACCUUAAGGCAAUGGCUAUGCAGACAUCAAAUAGUGCAUUAACUGGAAAUUCAGAUUUAUACAUAAGUAUAAAGAAAACCAACUUAGGAAUGUUAAAGUAUCAGUAGAAAUUGUAGUUUUAGCAGUAUAUGAGAAAGCAUUCCCCAGAACAAGGCAGGCUGGAUGACCUAAACAUUAAAAUUAACCCUGAGAACAUAGCAAGUUUCUUUUAAAGGCCAAUAGUUGUCACCAAAAUGAAGUGGCUACCUGCUACACAAGCCAUUUAAAAAAAAAAAAAAAUUCUGGUUUACCAAGAAAACACUUCUAAGAAACAAAGACCAUACCCACCAAAUAACCUUUAUAAAAACUAAUUGAGUCACAUUUCCUUUUCCUGUUAUCAGUCCAAUUUAAAUACUGGGAAGUAGACUGAAUUUUGGCACAUUACUGAGAAGUGUGCUCAGCAGAAGAAAGGAAUAGUAAAAGAAAGCAAAGUUUUGCCUCAAAGCUACUCAUCACCGCAAGACGAAGCU